AUGAAGUGCUCAAGAAAAAAAAGUGCUGGGAAAAGCAGUGGUCUGAAGAGCAAGUGUGGCCAGGGUCACCUUCGCCCACACAGUGCGGGCCAACGUGCCUUCCCCUUGCGGUGCGACGCCUGCGCGGCACCCAUCUCCCAGGGCUGGAGGGUCCUGGCCAGGAAGCCAUCGCCACCGCGUCCAGGUCAGGAGAAGGCUGCGGACCUGGUUCCGGCGGAGAAAGCAGCCAGCUCCGGGCCCCCAGGCUGCCCACGGAGUCGCUGGAGACUGGAGGAGCUCCUGACCCUCACCACCCAGACUCGAACUCACAGGAACAAGGGCAAGGCCACUGCGGGCCUCUGACAUCCGGUGGCCCCAGGGCUGAUGGAAGAGCUGCCUUUCCGCUGCAGGUCGAGUAGGGGGACGCCGCUGCUUCUGACCGUAUGGCGGACGGCUUCAGUAGCUCUCACGAUGCUGUCAUGGGGGGAAACGCGUUGUGGGUGUUUAGGAUAUGAACCUUUUGUGUGCCACUAGUUCGUAUAAGAUCAACUGCUUAUCAGUAGUUUGCCCGGAUUCGAGGAGCCAGAGAACGUUUUCGUACUGGAUCUGUCCUGCGAGUGGGCUUUGUCCUAUUGUCCCGUUCUGAUUUGGAUUGGGAAGGACAGCUCUUGCUUCUUACUGUACAGGCUUCAAAUAAAAGCAUUUGCUAUUC
rnacentral:lncRNA from 1 species